UCGGGAGCCCGUGCAUCUAAACCUAUAAUAUAAGACAUCAUAGCACAAGAGAAAAAUAUGCGUUAAUACUUUGAAUAUACUGGUAUACUAAGUGAGGUAGGUGAAAUGCAUGGGUUCAUAGGCAUGAACAAUACUGACUGAAUGAGAAGAAUAUAGCUGAAUUAGAGUACAUGCAUGGAUACCUAAAUUAUAACUGAGAUCAUGAUAAUACUGAAUACUGAGUCUGAAUACUAAUU
rnacentral:lncRNA from 1 species